CGGAGAGGGCGCAUGAGAAACGGCUACCACUUCUAAGGAAGGCAGCAGGCGCGCAAAUUACCCAAUCCUGACUCAGGGAGGUAGUGACAAGAAAUAACAAUAAACCGGCUUAUGCCGGUUUAAUUGGAAUGAGUACAAUUUAAACAUCUUAACGAGGAACAAUUGGAGGGCAAGUCUGGUGCCAGCAGCCGCGGUAAUUCCAGCUCCAAUAGCGUAUACUAAAGUUGUUGCAGUUAAAAAGCUCGUAGUUGGAUUUCUGCGGGGACGGAGCGGCCGGUCGCAACUUGCGACUCGAGCUAGCGCUUUCCCCGCAUCCUGCCGCGAACCGUGCUACCAUUAGUUUGGUGGCGCUGGGGAUCGGCUCGAUUACUUCGAGAAAAAUAGAGUGUUCAAAGCAGGCCACACGCCUUGAAUAAGUUAGCAUGGAAUAAUGACUAAGGACUUUGGUUCUUUUCGUUGGUGUUCGGGACUGAAGUAAUGAUUGAUAGGGACAGUUGGGGCGGUCCGUAUUCCAAAGCGAGAGGUGAAAUUCUUAGACCUUCGGAAGACGAACAGCUGCGAAAGCGUUCCGCAAGGAUGUUCCCUUUGAUCAAGAACGAAAGUUGGGGGAUCGAAGACGAUCAGAUACCGUCGUAGUCUCAACUAUAAACUAUACCAGCUAGGGAUCGGCCAACGUUUAAUUUAUCGACUUGGUCGGCACCUUAUGAGAAAUCAAAGCAUCUGGGUUCCGGGGGGAGUAUGGUCGCAAGGCUGAAACUUAAAGGAAUUGACGGAAGGGCACCACCAGCCGUGGAGCCUGUGGCUUAAUUUGACUCAACACGGGAAAACUUACCAGGUCCGGACAUAGUAAGGAUUGACAGAUUGAUAGCUCUUUCUUGAUUCUGUGGGUGGUGGUGCAUGGCCGUUUUUAGUCGGUGGAUGUGAUCUGUCUGCUUAAUUGCGUUAACGGACGAGACCCCAGCCUGCUAAAUAGCGCGGCCGAGCUUUGCUCGGUGCGAGCUUCUUAGAGGGACCAUGAUGCGCGAUAGCACAAGGAAGUUUGGGGCAACAACAGGUCUGUGAUGCCCUUAGAUGUUCUGGGCCGCACACGGGCUACACUGGCGCUGCAACGAGCAUAUCAGCUGGCCCGAGAGGGUCUUGGCUAAUCUUUGGAACCGGCGCCGUGCUUGGGAUUGACCAUUGCAAUUGUUGGUCAUGCAACGAGGAAUGCCUUGUAAACGCGAGUCAUCAGCUCGCAUUGAAUACGUCCCUGCCCUUUGUACACACCGCCCGUCGCUCCUACCGAUGAAUGUUCCGAUGAAAUUUUCGGAGAGCACCAGAGAACGGGGCUCCGCCUUGCAGAUCUGGAGGCUCAAAGUCACUUAAAUCUGAACAUUUCGAGGAAGGAGAAGUCGUAACAAGGUAACC
rnacentral:rRNA from 1 species